rnacentral:rRNA from 1 species
CUACGGAGGGGGCUAGCGUUGUUCGGAAUUACUGGGCGUAAAGCGCACGUAGGCGGUUUAUCAAGUUAGGCGUGAAAGCCCCGGGCUCAACCCGGGAACUGCGCUUAAUACUGGUAGACUUGAGUCCGGGAGAGGGUGGCGGAAUUCCCAGUGUAGAGGUGAAAUUCGUAGAUAUUGGGAAGAACACCAGUUGCGAAGGCGGCUACCUGGCCCGGUACUGACGCUGAGGUGCGAAAGCGUGGGGAGCAAACAGAAUUAGAAACCCCGGUAGUCC